GUGCUCGCUGAGGCAGCACAUACACUAAAAGGGGAACCAUACAGAGAAGAUGAGCAUGGCCUCUGUGUGAGGCUGACAUGCAAAUUCGUGAAGCCUUCCACAUUUGG